CCUACGGGUGGCAGCAGUGAGGAAUAUUGGUCAAUGGGCGCAAGCCUGAACCAGCCACGCAGCGUGAAGGAUGACUGCCCUACGGGUUGUAAACUUCUUUUAUAAAGGAAUAAAGUGCGGCACGUGUGCCUUUUUGUAUGUCCUUUAUGAAUAAGGAUCGGCUAACUCCGUGCAAGCAGCCGCGGUAAUACGGAGGAUCCGAGCGUUAUCCGGAUUUAUUGGGUUUAAAGGGAGCGUAGAUGGGUUGUUAAGUCAGUUGUGAAAGUUUGCGGAUCAACCGUAAAAUUGCAAUUGAUACUGGCAGCCUUGAGUACAGUUGAGGUAGGCGGAAUGCGUGGUGUAGCGGUGAAAUGCUUAGAUAUCACGAAGAACUCCGAUUGCGAAGGCAGCCUACUAAACUGCCACUGACAUUGAGGCUCGAAAGUGUGGGGAUCAAACAGGAUUAGAUACCCUGGUAGUC
rnacentral:rRNA from 1 species